AUGGAGGUGGUUGUCACAGUUUUGAAGAGGUAUUGGAGGUUAGUGAUGUUGUGUGUUGGAGCAGGUUUUGGCUAUUGUGUAGGUCUAGUUUUGUGGACAGCAGUGUGCAUGGUUAUGAUGCAGGGAGAUUUUUGUGAACCAGCUGGUUCCUCGAAGGUUUGUGAAAACAUCCCAAUUGUUCUCUGUGAAAACAAGGUUGAUGUGAAGAAUAGACAAGUGAAGCUGGCUGAACAUGGUUGGAACUGA